rnacentral:rRNA from 1 species
AGUACCCGCAGGAAGAGAAAACAACCGUGAUUCCGGGAGUAGUGGCGAGCGAAACCGGAUGAGGCCAAACCGUAUGCGUGUGAGACCCGGCAGGGGUUGCGUAUACGGGGUUGUGGGAUCUCUCUUUCAUGGUCUGCCGGCCAUGAGACGAGUCAGAAACCGUUGAUGUAGGCGAAGGACAUGCGAAAGGUCCGGCGUAGAGGGUAAGACCCCCGUAGUCGAAACAUCAGCGGCUCGUUUGAGAGACACCCAAGUAGCACGGGGCCCGAGAAAUCCCGUGUGAAUCUGGCGGGACCACCCGCUAAGCCUAAAUAUUCCCUGGUGACCGAUAGCGGAUAGUACCGUGAGGGA